AAGAAUAAGGAAUCCUCCAGUUUAGCUGUUACUCCAUCUUCAAUCGCCCUUGAAUCCCUCCCUGCAUGGGUAUGGACUGUCUUUUUAAACUCUUUUUAAAAGUAUCAAAUAUAUCUUUGUAGGGAAUCCUGCAAAUGGAACUAAUGUGACAGUAAGUGAGCAGCAGGUUUAAUUGCAGAAGCAUAAUUUAUGCCCAGCAUUACAGUUUAAAAUACACACCCUUUUAGAGGUAACAUUUUCUGUGUCACUACGUAGUUCAAGCCCCAAAUUUUAGGUUUUUAAUCUAGAUAUAUAAAAACAAAAGAACUAGCUUCUGGAUUACUUUUUAAAUCAUAUUGAAAACAGCUUUUAAAAAUGUCUACACUCCCCUGCUACUCAGUGAUAUAUGUACCAUUCCACAGUAUUGUAGUUACACCUGAAAACCAGGAACUGUCCACAGACUAGGACCCCAACCUUGCAAAUGCUUGUCCAAGUGUAAUGGGGCAUACAAACCCCACACCAGGCAGAAAAGGGUUAAAGAGCAACUAAGAGUUUAGGCAGCCCUGCACCUGCACAGCAUGUCAGGCUUGGAGGAGGAGCCUUAAAAGGCAAACCCCCUUAUUAGUGGGAAGGAGUAUAAAUCUCUCAUUCUCAGCUCCUAGAGGAAGAGUGUGGUUGAGGACAAAGAGUGGUUGUAGGUAGCUAGACCUUCUUGAGCAGAAGGUUGUCCUCCUUGCAGAUCAAAAGACCUGACUUACAAAAGUUAGUCUCAAUUUAAGAAGCAGCAGCAAAAAAAGUGUGUUCCUUCAAGACCAUCACAUUACCUGACACCCGAACUAGCAGCACAUACUUAGAAUGCCAGAUGAUGCUAAUUACUAUCAAAUGGUAAAGAAUUGACAACAUGGUACGUAUGCACAUGUGUGUAUGUAUGCAUGCAUGUGUUUGUAUACAUACACAAACAACUUAGAGUCUGUCUUCACUGCAGUAGUAGCUUGAGUAAUCUACUCUCAAGUUAAUUCCACUCAAGUCAGCCUCAUUUGAGGAGAGCAGCUACAUUGCAAACUAACACUCAACCUGAGUAGAGUGAUAGACUGGAACCAUCCUUCAGGGAAUACUAUUUCUCCAGUGCCUCCCUUGCAGGAGUACUAUUUCAGCCCCCUCUCUCCGCCAUUUACCUAGAGGGAGGUGAUACAGCAUUGAGUUGCACCACUUUCUGCCUGAAACUCCACACAGGAACUCCUGGACUCAGCAGGGGCACGACAUGACAGUAAUUUUUUAAAGUGUCCCCCGCCCUUCACGGCAAGAAGAAGAUAGCUUAACAAACGUAUAGACUUGAUUAAAAAAUUUAAAACCAUAUGGCAACAAAAACGUAACUCUUCCUACGUAUCAGCAUGCCAAGGAAGGUCCUUGAGUUCUUGAAAUUCUCUUUCUUACCAUUAAAAAUGUAUCUGCUGCAUCAGUGCUUCUGGUCUUUGCAGACAUUGUUGAAGCAGACAAGGGGGGAGGGGCAGAAUGGAGGUGUAAGGCUGAGGCGUAAUCAAUCUUCUUUGCAGCCCUACAGUAACUGUUUGGAUACCUUGAAUGUUGUAUUUUUGUUAUUUCUGGGAAGACCUAUCUUUGGGUUAUAGAUUAAAAUCAGACAAGUGGAAUUUUUCAUACCAUGAGAAUUAGAGAAAAUUAAACCUGACAGCUCCUGAUAAAUCCUCUCAUAAAUAAAUUAGCUGCUGGUGGUAAUAUAAGUCCAGCCACCAUUUGAUUCCCAUUCUCGAGAAUAUAGAACAAGUUCUCUUUGUUUUUUAACUUGUCCUCCUCCUCAUUAUUAUUAUUAUUUUAUUAUUAUAUGCACAACAGUAAUUCCUGGAGGUCCCAAUGCAGAGUGGGGCCCCACUGUGCUAGAUACACAGUAAAAUUUACCUCAGAGAGCUUACAGUCUAAAGAGACAAGACAGAUGAAGAUGGGAGAAAGGAAAU